GGCAACUAGCAAGUGUAUUGUAUUUUGUUUGAAAUGUCAUGCUUAUUUGUGAUGAGGACUACAACACAAGUUAGAUAUUUUUGAGAGAGUUACUUUUUGAAAUACGCAGGAGUGAAUUAUUUCGUGAAUGUGAUUUGUUUUUCCUUCUCACUAACCAAGUUCAUAGCGUCAUGAACGUACAGACAAGCUUGAUGUAGAGAGUGUUACUUGAGGUUUUCUAUCAAAAUGUUUUGGGUUUCAACACACGUCUGCUCUUAAGUCGAAUUGCUUGUAAAGUAGGAAACUGUGUUUUUCCAAAAGAGUUUAUUUAGGAAAUUUUGAUACUCUUCAUUAUUGGGAUUUCUCCGUUGAAAUUAUUUAUUGAUAUUACUUUUAACAGAAUUUCCUUGAGAAUCUUUUACAGAAUGAUGUGUAUUUACCCAAGGCUACACAUCGAAAAGAAUUCGAUACAAUAAGUGGAAAAUUAGAAGAGUCUCCUCAUAAAGAUGGUCUUCUGAAGCCUACUUGUGGAAUGAAAGUUUCUAUUCCAAAUAAAGCCUUAGAAAUGAAGCAUAUACAAACAUUCAAAGCAGGUAAAUUUUGUAAUUUUAAUUUUACUCUGGAAAGAAGAAUAUUAAAAUAUUUGAAAUGCUGAGAGCCUUAUAUUCCCAAUGUUGUUUUCUUUUCAAAAUUUGAUGGGAAAAUUUGAUACAAAUAAUGCCAAUGUUAGUAUUUAUGUUUGAAAAAAUGCCAUU